rnacentral:rRNA from 1 species
AACCUGGUUGAUCCUGCCAGUAGUCAUAUGCUUGUCUCAAAGAUUAAGCCAUGCAUGUCUAAGUAUAAAUCUUUAUACGAUGAAACUGCAGACGGCUCAUUACAACAGUGAUAAACUACUAGACUUUCGGGUUUCACGACCUUUUGGAUAACCGCAGUAAAUCGGGGCUAAUACAUGUAAACGAGGGGUGACUGGGCAACUGGAAGCUCCGCGAUUAUUAGCUUUUUACCAAUCCCCGCAAGGGGUCAGUUGGUGAGACCAAAUAAUGCUGCCGAUCGAGAUUUAAUCUCGACAAGUCUACUGUGUCACUGCCCUAUCAACUUUCGAUGGUACGGUAUUGGCCUACCAUGGUUGUAACGGGUAACGGGGAAUCAGGGUUCGAUUCCGGAGAGGGAGCCUGAGAAAUGGCUACCACUUCUAUGGAAGGCAGCAGGCGCGCAAAUUACUCAAUCCCAAUACGGGGAAGUAGUGACAAUAAAUAUCAAUGCUCAUCCUGACAAAGGAGGGUAAUUGAAAUGAACACAAACUAAACCUCUUAAUUAAUACAAUUGGAGGGCAAGUCUGGUGCCAGCAGCCGCGGUAAUUCCAGCUCCAAUAGCAUAUACUAAAGUUGUUGCAGUUAAAAAGCUCGUAGUUUAAGUAAAGGUCUAGGGGGGCUCAAUAUUCCCUAUUGGGUCUCGCAUUCAAUAUGGGGAUCCCCUUAGAACUUUUUAAACUGCCCAUUUCAGGCGUCCCGCAAGGGCUCCGUCUGGCUUCGGGUGAUUCACUGUGAGAAAAUUGUGGUGUUCAAAGCAGGCGUCUCGCCUGAUCCUUUGCAGCAUGGUAUGAUAAAACACGACACCUAACGCCACAUUGGUUGCGAUUAAGUGUAAUGAUUAAUAGGGAUGGAUGGGGAUGUUCAUAUUGGUGGGCGAGAGGUGAAAUUCGUUGACCCUAUCAAGAUGAACUUCUGCGAAAGCAUUCAUCAAAUACUUCUCCAUUAAUCAAGAACGAAAGUUUGGGGAUCGAAGACGAUCAGAUACCGUCGUAGUCCAAACUAUAAACUAUGUCGACCAGGGAUCGGCUGGAGUUCUUUAAAAAUCCAGUCGGCACCUUGUGAGAAAUCACGAGUGUUUAGAUUCCGGGGGGAGUAUGGUCGCAAGUCUGAAACUUAAAGGAAUUGACGGAAGGGCACACAAUGGAGUGGAGCCUGCGGCUUAAUUUGACUCAACUCGGGAAAACUUACCAAGCUAAGAUAUAGCUAGGAUUGACAGACUAAAAGAUCUUUCAUGAUUCUAUAAGUGGUGGUGCAUGGUCGUUCUUAGUUGGUGGAGCGAUUUGUCUGGUCAAUUCCGAUAACGGACGAGACCUCGACCUGCUAACUAGUGGUGUCUAUCCUAUCGCCAUGGGUGAUAGUUAGCUGGGUGUCUGGCUCGCUCGCAAGAGCGGGUCUGCCUCGGCUGGCGUGUAGCCUGAUUGGAUAGGCAUCCAAAAACAAAAAACUUCUUAGAGGGACUACCUGCCUCAAGCAGGCGGAAGUCCGAGGCAAUAACAGGUCUGUGAUGCCCUUAGAUACCUUGGGCCGCACGCGCGCUACAUUGCGAUGCGCAAAAAGGUUGCCUGGUCCGGAAGGAUUGGGUAAUCAGGAAUUCAUCACGUAACAGGGAUUGAUCUUUGUAAUUAUCGAUCAUCAACGAGGAAUUCCUUGUAAGCGUAAGUCAUUACCUUACGCUGAAUAUGUCCCUGCCCUUUGUACACACCGCCCGUCGCUCCUACCGAUCGAAUGAUACGGUAAAACCAACGGCAUUGCUGGCUGGCUUAAACUCUGGUCUAGCGAUAAUGUUGUUUAAACCUCAUUGUUAGAGGAAGGAGAAGUCGUAACAAGGUAUCCGUAGGUGAACCUGCAGAAGGAUCA